rnacentral:lncRNA from 13 species
AUGUAUUAUAAGCAACCCUUCAGUCAACACAGACGUUCGGAUACCUUCAUGGACAGCUCUGAUUUUUCUCGGGAUAAACUUCUGGAAAUGGAACUCCAAGACUAUGAAUAUAUUGAACGGUUUUUGAUGACUUGUCUUCUGCAAAGGUUUUACCAGUCUGCUGUUUUGCAGAUGAGAGCACGGAGGGCCGGAAAGGUUCGUGGACUCGGCCACCAUCAGGGAUCAGGAGGUCCAGGAACCAGGGCUCGAAUCUCUAGCCUCACUCUCUUGCCGACAUGUUGUCUCUCGCGGUGGGGCAGGACAGGAGAGGAGAAACUGUUUAGUCAUCGGUAAGGAAAUUCCCUUCAAGACGGUUUCAUUUUUCUUCCUGUUAGGUCAGCUCUUGGUCCUGGCUCAGCCUCUGAAAGCCAAGGGGGUGAGGCCCACUCUGUCAGGGCAGAGCAGCGUAGCUGACUCCACAGUGGGGUGGAUGAAUGAAGAGAAAUAGGAAGUAACCUCAGUUGUUCUUCCUG